UGGAGUGAGUGAGAAGCUGAGGUUUGGCCCUGAGGAGCCGUGUGUGUAGAUCUGGCACAGCUUUGCUCCCUUAACUCCUGGAUCUUUGUUUUGGUGGCGACCAGGGAGAGCAGGGAGCGCUGUGCUCGCAUUUCCCUCAGGCUUUUACACACGCACACACACACACACACACACACACACACACACACACACAAAUCCCCCUUUCCAACUUUCUGCUUUUUGCGCUUCCCUUCCAGUUUUUUCACUUCUCAGACCUACUGGCAGCCUUUGCCGAGAUCUAGAUCCCCGUCGUGGUGAUAUCCAAAAUGCACGAGGGGUAAAACUACAGACUGCCGGCGCGAUUAACCAGUGGAAGCCAAGGACUUGCAGAAAAUCCACGGAUGUAUCUGGCUGCCUUCAAGCACAAGUAACCCCCGGGGGGAAAGGCAAGGUCAAGAAGACAGAGAAAUGAAGACCUUCCAUCUAUAGGGAAACAACAGAAUAUUUCUGGACCUGCUGUAAAAUCACAACCAUCGACAAUAUUAUGUAUUUUGUAACUUAGACGGUUAAUUUAAUGUCAACACAAUUAGUUUGGUUAAACCAGAGAAAAGUACUUUUUUCUUACUUAAGAUCCUUCGCUGGCUGUCACAUGAAAAAAAAGGUGAGAGACUUCAAGGUGAGCAGUGGGAAGGUAGGAAUGAGGGAGAAGGGAACAAGGGCAUGUGGAGAGACCUGGUGCUCCUUGGAAAGGAAAAGGGGAUAUUGGUUGGAGGUAGAAGGCAGUGGGGUUAUACAGAAAAAGGAAUCUCUCAAGUGUACUACAGCAACAUCUGUGCCUUGCCUCAGUCAGGUAGGCUCUGAAACUGGAGAUAAAUCCCAAGAGAAGCUGGAUGAUUGCAAAGCCAUGGAGGAAUAUCCUUACAGCAUCUGCAUAGACCAGUGCAGAAAGCUUCUUCUGGACCUAGGGAACAGGUCUUAGUGAAAAAACCUGCUGCACCUGACUAGCACAUACUGUAUUUUUUUAAAAAAAUCAAAUUAAUUCCUUUAGUGAAUUAAAUUCUAAUUUUCUGUUUCCAGUAGUCAAUAUUCUGUUUGCAUGGCUUCCUAUGGUGGUAAAAUCUCAUGAGUUCCAUGUAUAUGGGAUUUUGUUUUCUUCAGGGUUUUUCAGAUCUAAGUGAGACCAGUAAAAAGCCUAACAGCCUCUAAGGAAAAGAUGCUACUUCUGGUGAAACCCACAAUGCAAAUAUGAGCACAAUUCUUAGCAAUUCUACUGCAGAAUAUUUUCAGGGGAGUGGUUGUGACAUUCUUACAAAAAAAUGAAGAAUAUUAAUUUUUUCCAAUGGAAAUAAAUCCUUUCUUUUCUCCUCUGUGAAACAAGACACUCCCCAUAUUUCUACUGCUCCUGUGCUGUACAUGCACUGAGAAUGGCCUGUCAUUCUGCAAACUCUCAUGUAUUUUACAGAGUCAACAUUGCUAUUCAUCUCAUGCAACUGCAGCCAAUCUUGGCUGCCAGGUGAAACACGAUGUUGAAACAGAGAAACCAUCUCAAAGAAAUACAAGCUCUCAAGCGGUGAAUGGCUCUGUGGAUGAAAAAAGGCAUUUGGAAUUACACCUAGAAGUGUAAUUCUGGAAGCAGAGAGCGGCCAAGUCCCUGGAGCAGGGACGGAAGGAGGAGCAGUGGCGGGGCCGGCGGUCCCACCCUCGCCUGCCGAGGCUCUUGCAGGUCGGCUCUGAGCACAUCGGAUAUGAUUGGGAGCAGCUGCAAGCUGAGCCCAGUGCAGCGCUCCCAAUACAUUCCAGAUGAUGAAUAUGAUGCAGACUUACUGGAAGAAAAAUAUAUUUCUGAAGAGAAAAACAAUUACUUCUCAAAGCAAGACAAUGAAGCUGAACCGACGCUACAACGGACAUAAAAUAGAACAGAACUUUUGGGCAAUGGCUUUAGCUUCUAAUAAAUCACCCACCUGGAGAUCCUUUUGCAGAGUGCGUUUGGAUGUAUCAGACCCCAAAUAUUUUCAGAGGUAUAUGAAGUUGAAAAAUUAUACAUUUCAACCUUGAUUUCUUCUCAAAGGGACAGAUACUUUGUUGUGUCAUAGACUCCUAUUUUCAUGUUAGCAGAAAGGUGCCUUUGCCACUUCAAACAACACGUGGGCUCAUGGAAGUUAUGUAAAAAAGGCUUGGAAACGCCACUUGAUACAGUGGGUUUCACUGGCUGAGCCUUCAGAGGGGACUUGAACGAAAUUUGCAAAAACAUGUCAAAAGUUAAGUGGCGAAAAUCAGCUUAAAUGCCUAAUUUUAAUUUUGUUUGUGCUCUUUGUUGUUUCAUUGUGGAGGGAGGGAAGAAGCUGUCUUUUUACUCCCUGUCCUUUCAUUUUGUUUGGGAGAAAAUGGAUGUUGGUGAAAAGAAGAGAGCUCUGGCAGGGACUGGAAAGAGGUUGUUUAUUCUGUUUUGUUUUCUUUAGAAAGGGGCAACUCUUCUAAAACUGGUGAUGAUCCAGUUAAAGGGGGACUCCGGGUGGGGAAGAGAAAAGAAAACUAAUAAUCAGCCUCUAAAUGACAAGUUUUCUCUUGAACAAAAGAGCAACAGGAGGCAGUGCAGGCAGGGGGUCAGUGCCCAGGGGUAACGUGACCAAAACAAUGGCUGGAGAAUGUGUGUAGCUUUUGCCACUCCAGAAGCUGCUGCCCCAGUGCCUUCACCGAGGGACUGCAAGGAUCAAACCUGAUCCAAUGCUGGGCAAGUGUGGUGCCACUUCUGGAGUCCUCCCAAGGGAAGGCAAUGGCUGACUGUGGGUAACACGAGCAAGAGCUGAAGAAUUGUGAGAGUUCCCCCAGUUCUGAAUGACAGGUGUGAUUGAACAGCCCCAGCCAAUAGGGCAGAGCCCACACCAGACACGGGGCUAAAGGUGGGGUUUAAAGUGACUUCAGUCAAAGAUGGAGACUGCUUGGCAGUGUCUGUGAUUCUCUUGCACUUGGUUAAUUGCCUGCUGGGGAAAGCCAGUGGUGCUGGAUAAACUGAAGCGAGAUGGUUUUAAACUAUUAUGAGCAUUCACGCAAAAGUUCAUUCUGGUUUAGACUAAAUUGGUUUUAAUUUCAAUUCAUGUAACUUCUGUGUAGACGAGGCCUAUGGCUUGCCAUUUUGCAGAAAUGGUGAAUUUAUAGCAUAUGUGCUCCAAAUGGACUAUCAUGCAAAUUCUCCUGGUAUUUGCUCCAAGUCCAGUUCCAGCUGUCGGUGGAGAUGGAGGAGCAGAAUAGACCACUCACACAGCCUCCCAUGUAAUGCAGAUUGGAUCUAUUGUCAGUCAGAUGGACUGGUGGUGUGGGAGCAGUGUGAAGCCAGUUCUUUCACUACAUGGUGUGUAAAGCAAUGAGGCAGACAAAAGCUGGAUUUAAAUUAGGGAAUAUUUCUGCCAAAUUUCCUUCUCUGAAGCAGAAAAAUAAAACACUUAAUGUGUCUGGCAAUGUUUAUUCUGUGCAGUGUUUUAACCGAUCAUAAAAGAAAAGCUACGUGUGAACAUCAUCUAGCAGCUUCAUCAUAUUCUGAGGAGAUGAGAGAGCAUGAUUCCACCAUGGUCUGAAAAAGUAUUAGACUGAGAAAGCAGAAACAAUUUGGCAAGAAAACAAGAUGGCAAGAGAAAAAGAACAAAAAUAGGUUCUUUUCAAUUAGAUAGGAAUUACCAGUUAUAAUCACAGCAAAAUCAUAUCUGCCACAAAGGUUCCAUUUUGAAAGUCCUUGAUGUCCUCAGUGUCCUGCUCAAUGGCCAGAGGCUUCCCACUUUGCCUUCUUGCUGCUUAUUCAAAGAAAGGCAAGAUCUGAAUGGUUGGAGAAGAUAUGUAACUGCAUGCACAUGAAAAUGAAAGAAUUCCUUGCCUGUGUGGUAUCUGUGCUGAGAAGGAGGCAGCAACUCUCAUUACGUGCAUAUUGGCCCUUUGAAGAUUUGGCCCUGAAUUCUACUGGUGAAGUAUUUUCCAUGACUUUUCCACUGUAUCUUCUUAGAGAUUUGUGCUCCAAUCAUCCAAUACCUUGUCAGAAAUUGAAGACAGUGUUAAAAACAAUCCAAAGAAAUAAUACUAGUCCAUUUUUAAUUCCAAAUGAUCGAAAGAACAAGUAUCAGCUAAUGUGAAUGAAAACAUAGUUGUGUAAUCUAAGCAAGAAGAAUGUCAAGAAUAACAACUUUGUAACUGGAUUUGGAAAAAUAAACAAUUCUUUCCUUUUUUGCAUAAUAAAUAUGGCGUGGGUAGCAAAAAUAA